rnacentral:rRNA from 1 species
UGGGGGAUAUUGCACAAUGGGGGAAACCCUGAUGCAGCGACGCCGCGUGAGUGAAGAAGUAUUUCGGUAUGUAAAGCUCUAUCAGCAGGGAAGAAGACGACAGUACCUGAGUAAGAAGCCCCGGCUAACUACGUGCCAGCAGCCGCGGUAAUACGUAGGGGGCAAGCGUUAUCCGGAUUUACUGGGUGUAAAGGGAGCGUAGACGGUUAUGUAAGUCUGGAGUGAAAGCCCGCGGCCCAACCGCGGGACUGCUCUGGAAACUGUGUAACUGGAGUACAGGAGGGGCAGGCGGAAUUCCUGGUGUAGCGGUGAAAUGCGUAGAUAUCAGGAGGAACACCGGCGGCGAAGGCGGCCUGCUGGACUGAGACUGACGUUGAGGCUCGAAAGCGUGGGGAGCAAACAGG